rnacentral:piRNA from 2 species
UAACUGUGGGAAGAUGUCUACAUCCCAGGAC